UAUAACACAACACAACACAAAAGCAACAAAAUAAAAGAAUAUUAAUAACAGAUUAAACUCAACCAAAUUAAAACACAACAACAAAUGAAACUUUUUGUUUAAAAAAAAAAGAAUUUAAUUAACAUACAGAUUACCAUAAUUCAAAACAGAUUCAAAACAACAUUAAUAGACUUUAGAAUUAACAUUAACAGAUUCAAAACCAAGUUGAAAACAUUAACAGAUUCCAUAAUUAACAUUAACAGAUUCAAAACAAUAUUAACAGAUUCAAAACCAAGCUCAAAACAUU
rnacentral:lncRNA from 1 species